AAGGUGAAGAGGAGGCUGAGAGGAAGAGGACUGCUGAGGGAGGCUCUGUCUUUUUAGCCAGAGUUUGACAAUUAGGCUUCAUCGUGUCUUGACACAGUGCUACUGCUGACCCAAAAACAGGACGCAGGAGGUGGUGCUCGCUAGAGACCGUGAGUGGCAUGGUGCAUGUGCCAUCUUGCUGAGGUCUCCCAGGGGAAUUCAGAGGACACCUGGCCUCCUUCAGUCCAGGACUCACUGUUGAAGUGGAGCCGGGGCCCUGGCAGGAAAGAAUCAGGUAUAGGAGGGCCGCUGGCCCGCCAUAGGGAGAGUCUGUGCUGUCCAGCGCCCACCGGAUGGCAGGAGGGGUAGGGCCUUAGGUGAGCCCCACCACAGAGCGAACCUCAUCCAUGGCAAUGGGCCUGUCUCCCCAGCCCACUCACCGGGUGGUGCUGGGAGAGCCCUCAAGCCUGUACCAAAUCCCUUUAUCCCCACAAAUGAGCCAUCCACAAACCUGCACCUGUUAGUGUCCUAGGGCUGCCAGAACAAAUUAACACAAACGUGGUAGCUUGAAACAAUGCACAUGUAUUCUCCUGCAGUUCGGAAGAAGUUUGAAAUUAAGGUGUCGGCAGGUUGGUUCCUUCCUGGGGGCUUGGCAGGGGAAUCUGCUUCCCGUGCUCCCUCCUAGCUUCCAGUGAUGACGCAAUUCUUGAUGUGCCUUGGCUUGCGACAGCGUCACUCCAAUAGCUUCCUCCAUUGUCACGUGACAUUCUCCCUGUGUGUCUGUGUCCAAAUUUCCCUCAUCUUAUAGGGACACAUCGUGGGAUUCAGGGCCCACCCUAACCCAGUGUGACCUCAUCUUAACUCGAUUGCAUCUGCCAAGAUCCCAUUUCCAAAUAAGAUCACAUCCACGAGUGCCAGGGCUUAAGACCGGAACAUGUGUGUCUUAUGGGGGACACACAACCACAUACGAUUCACAGUGAACAUAGCACAGGCUUCAGACUGGGUCAGACUUGGGCAUUGCCAUGUAGCCUGUCCCAUCUCCUUGGCACAGUGAGGUUGGAAAGGCAAGUCUAUCCCAGUGGGCUUCCUAAGGAUUACCCGACAGAGAGGAUCACAGAGCUCUGCGGAGUGUUUGGGAGUGAUAGAGACUCAGCAAAGAUGGCCCCGAAUUGGGUCUCUGGGACUUGGAGGAGGGAGCUUGGUACCAGCUCACCAGAAACUGGCAGUUUAUGGGCCAGUAGGCACUUACCAAGGGGUCUGGCUUAGGAAUGGGACCUCAGUGGUCAGGCUGCCUGCAGGGAGUUGGGGGAGAGCAUGGAUGUCAGGAGCAUGUGUCGGGGCGGGGACUCAAGGCCCAAAGGCUAGGGUGGGAGUUGGGAAGGCCAGGGUGGGAGUCAGGAAGGCUGGGGGCUAGGCUACCGUGGGUUCUUCCAUGAGCCCGGAGACCACAAGUGGAAUGGCCUGGGGGCUUUCUCAGGAUCAAAGGAGCCCCCUGCCAUGUUCCCAAUGGGCUCUGGGUCUGGGCCUGACAGGCAACAUGGGAAUGAGCUGGCUUUUCACUACCAGGUACUCCGAGCAUGCAUCCCCUUUGGGCCUAGGAAUUAAUUCCUCAUUCCACUUCCCCAUCCUCUCCCCAAGACGUGACUUCUCCCUCCUAUCACCAUGGAGUCUGCUAAAGGCUUCCUUCCCGGCCGAGGUGUUCUCUUUUUGUCUAUGUCUUUCCUUCCUUCCCACCCUUCUUUGCUUUCUUCCAAUACUUAGUGUCUACCAUAUGCCAGGGUUUUUCUAGGCCUUCGGGACAUAGAAGUGAACUAGACAGAUGGGUCCUGCCUCAGUGGAAUUUGUAAAUAACAGGAUGAGAAAUAUUAAUCAAGAAACCACACAGUUGAAUGUUUCACAGCAGAGGAACGGGUGCUCCGAGUGAGGGGUAUGAGGGUGGCGGCAGUCAGGAAGAAGGAGAAGCCACUAAGCCAGGCAUGUAAGGGACGUGACUUUAGGCAAGGGCUGAGGAAGUCACCACCUAGGACAAAGGAGAGGAAGAGAAUCUGGGCAGGAGCAUCACCCAUGCAGAGGCCCUGUGGUGGGAGGAUGCUUGGCAAGUGAGAUGGACCAAGAGAGGCUGUGGCUGGAGUGGACAGAGUGAAGGGAAUAUGAGAUGUCCCAGAAGAACUGUGAGCCUGAACCCGGAGCCCCAACCUCUCCUAGCCUCCUGGAGGAGGAUGACCCAGGGUCCCUAUCCUGGCAACAGCAGGCCACCAGUUCAAGGGACAAGAAACUUCUAAGCUCCCUCCACAUUUCACAUAGGGCCCAGGUAGCCUUGGAGUGCCUGCCUUUCUUCCGCACCUAUGGGUGCCUCCUAGCAGAGGAGCGGUUGGUCCUGCAGCCCGAGAUACCACUCCAGGAGGACUCAGAACUGCUUGGUGGGUUCUUCCCUUACUACCGCUCUGAGGAGGAGAGUGUGCCCAGCCUGGCCCCUCCUGGAUGGUCACACAGGGUCCCUUACUACCACUCUGAGGAGGAGAGUGUGCCCAGCCUGGCCCCUCCUGGAUGGUCACACAGGGGCUCCCAAGACCCACCCACUGCGAGGGACAGGCUGGCUGCUUCUGCAGGACAACAGUCAAGGACGAAUGUUCUGUCUCGGCAGGGUGUCCCCAUGACAGUGACCUGGAUGCCCCUCUCUCCAGGGACCAUGGCCUUUAUGCCUCAGGAUUCGUGCCUUACUACAGAACCCCUGAGGAGGGGCUACACACUAGCCUUGGGCCUCCUGCCUCCCCAUCUGGGAGCCAGGGGUCUUUAGGGGCUGCCCAGGCCUGGUGCAGUCACACCACAGGGAAGCUGGAGCUGACUGCGGCCGAAGCCACUGGAGAGCAGACCCCUGGCACCUGCUGACCAUCGAGGGAUGAAGGGGCAGAAGGGAGAAACUCAGCCUGUGCCGCACGUUCAACCACUCCACACCCAGGAAGAGACCCAUCCCACCCCAGGCUGCCACCUUCCUGUACUAGCUGGAAAAACUGCCACGUGAGAAUUGAACAGCCACACCAAAGGAGAGGAGUGUCCAUCUUGCCCAGCACUCUAACCUCAGACCGCUCAUUUUGUAGCCUGUCCUAAGUGCAAACAGAGGGAGCAGGAGCCUCCUGAAGGACUGAAGGGCGCAGACACCCUGAAGCUGGUUUUGUAAAUAAAUCAUAUCACUGUAGAGGUUGGAACUGGUGCGCUAAUUGGCUGCUUUGGAGUAAUACCUGCAGCUUCCAUUUAUCGAGCAUUUACUUUGUACUAGGCACCUUAUAGAGAUCAAGGAUUAUGGAGACACAAUCCUUGGGUGUAGACACUGGUGUCCUCUCCAUUCUACAGCAGAGUAAACAGGCUAAGAGAGGUUAAGUAGGGUGCCUGAGCUCACACAGCUAGCAAACAGCCA